UGUGGGAGCGGGCUUGCCCGCGAUGGCAGCGUAUCAGUCACCGAAUGUAUCGGCUGAAAAAUCGCCAUCGCGGGCAAGCCCGCUCCCACA
rnacentral:misc_RNA from 1 species